rnacentral:rRNA from 1 species
CGCCUGUUUAUCAAAAACAUGUCUUUAAGAGUUUAUUUAAAGUCUGGCCUGCUCAAUGAAUUUUUAAAUAGCCGCGGUAUUUUAACUGUGCUAAGGUAGCAUAAUAAUUAGUCUUUUAAUUGAGGUCUGGGAUGAAUGGUUGAACGAGAAAUUUUCUUUAUUAAUUUAAUUCAAUUGAAUUUUAUUUUUUUGUUAAAAAGCUUAAAUUUAAAAGAGGGACGAUAAGACCCUAUAGAUCUUUAUAAUAAAAUUUUUUUUUUUUUUUUUUGUAGUUUUUUUAAAAAUUAAUUUAAUUAUUUUGUUGGGGUGAUAGCUAAAAUAUUAAACUUUAGUUUAUUUUUACAAUUUUUUUUGGUUUUUUUGAUCCUUUUUAUUGAUAUAAAGAAGAAGAUACCUUAGGGAUAACAGCGUUAUAUAGUUGGAGAGUUCAAAUUGAUAAUUAUGUUUGCGACCUCGAUGUUGGAUUAAAGUUUUACUGUGGGGUAGGUUUUACAGUUUUAGGUCUGUUCGACUUUAAAAUUUUACAUGAUCUGAGUUCAGACCGG